UACGAAGGUGGCAAGCGUUACUCGGAAUUACUAGGCGUAAAGGGCAGGUAGGCGGUUUGAUUAGUCUGUUGUGAAAGCUCCCGGCUUAACUGGGAGAGGUCAACAGAUACUGUCGAACUUGAGUAUGGGAGAGGGUACUGGAAUUCCCGGUGUAGUGGUGAAAUGCGUAGAGAUCGGGAGGAACACCUGUGGCGAAGGCGGCUCGCUGGGCCGGUCCUGACGCUGAGACGCGAAGGCGUGGGGAGCGAACGGG
rnacentral:rRNA from 1 species